GACGUAGGGCGCGAGCGUUGUCCGGAUUUAUUGGGCGUAAAGAGCUCGUAGGCGGCUUGUUGCGUCAGCUGUGAAAACCCGCAGCUCAACUGUGGGCUUGCAGCUGAUACGGGCAGGCUUGAGUUCGGUAGGGGAGACUGGAAUUCCUGGUGUAGCGGUGAAAUGCGCAGAUAUCGGGAGGAACACCAGUGGCGAAGGCGGUUGCCUGGAGCUUUGCUGACGCUGAGGCGCGAAAGCGUGGGGAGCGAUCCGG
rnacentral:rRNA from 1 species